GAGGUGGUGAAAGCAGAAGCCCAGAUCAAAGUGGAAGCCAACGAGGCGCUCGUCAAGGCCCUGGAGUGAUUGGGGAAUCCCAUUGCUGCAGAGACCACAGGGAGGCCAACGCAUCCCAGCUUGCAGACGGCAUAGAGAUGGUGGCAGAGAAAUCCCUUGGAUCCAUUAAAAGACAAACCUCA